rnacentral:rRNA from 1 species
CAGCAGCCGCGGGAAAACGAAGGGUGCAAGCGUUACUCGGAAUUACUGGGCGUAAAGCGUGCGUAGGUGGUGGUUUAAGUCCGUUGUGAAAGCCCUGGGCUCAACCUGGGAAUUGCAGUGGAUACUGGGUCACUAGAGUGUGGUAGAGGAUAGUGGAAUUUCCGGUGUAGCAGUGAAAUGCGUAGAGAUCGGAAGGAACAUCUGUGGCGAAGGCGACUAUCUGGGCCAACACUGACACUGAGGCACGAAAGCGUGGGGAGCAAACAGGAUUAGAUACCCGCGUAGUCCCUGUCUCUUAUAC